UACGUAGGGUGCGAGCGUUAAUCGGAAUUAUUGGGCCUAAAGCAUCCGUAGCCGGUUCUACAAGUCUUCCGUUAAAUCCACCUGCUCAACAGAUGGGCUGCGGAAGAUACUAUGGAGCUAGGAGGCGGGAGAGGCAAGCGGUACUCGAUGGGUAGGGGUAAAAUCCGUUGAUCCAUUGAAGACCACCAGUGGCGAAGGCGGCUUGCCAGAACGCGCUCGACGGUGAGGGAUGAAAGCUGGGGAGCAACCGGG
rnacentral:rRNA from 1 species